UCAGGACGAACGCUGGCGGCGUGCCUAAUACAUGCAAGUCGAGCGGACUUGAUGGAGAGCUUGCUCUCCUGAUGGUUAGCGGCGGACGGGUGAGUAACACGUAGGCAACCUGCCUGCAAGACCGGGAUAACCCACGGAAACGUGAGCUAAUACCGGAUAUCUCAUUUCCUCUCCUGAGGGGAUGAUGAAAGACGGAGCAAUCUGUCACUUGCGGAUGGGCCUGCGGCGCAUUAGCUAGUUGGUGAGGUAACGGCUCACCAAGGCGACGAUGCGUAGCCGACCUGAGAGGGUGAACGGCCACACUGGGACUGAGACACGGCCCAGACUCCUACGGGAGGCAGCAGUAGGGAAUCUUCCGCAAUGGGCGAAAGCCUGACGGAGCAACGCCGCGUGAGUGAUGAAGGUUUUCGGAUCGUAAAGCUCUGUUGCCAGGGAAGAACGUCCGRUAGAGUAACUGCUAUCGGAGUGACGGUACCUGAGAAGAAAGCCCCGGCUAACUACGUGCCAGCAGCCGCGGUAAUACGUAGGGGGCAAGCGUUGUCCGGAAUUAUUGGGCGUAAAGCGCGCGCAGGCGGUCAUUUAAGUCUGGUGUUUAAGGCCAAGGCUCAACCUUGGUUCGCACUGGAAACUGGGUGACUUGAGUGCAGAAGAGGAGAGUGGAAUUCCACGUGUAGCGGUGAAAUGCGUAGAUAUGUGGAGGAACACCAGUGGCGAAGGCGACUCUCUGGGCUGUAAC
rnacentral:rRNA from 1 species